AAUAUCACAUUUCCCAUAGGAGUGUGUGAGGAUGGGAUUUCUACUUUUUGUUGUGUGAAGAUAAAACAUGAAGAACAAACAGAGCUCCCAAGGGACAUAUGCCUUGUGGAGUUUUAUUUAAAAGGACUAGGCAUACUAUUUGGGAAUUGGGAUCUUCAAGAAACCAUGGGGGACUAAAUUUUAGCACAACAAGCUGCCUCACCCUCUCAAUCACAUACUAAUUGAGUAAUUCCCAGGUAUAAGUAGUAUUUUUUUAACGCCAAAUCUACAUUCCUUGUCAGUACAAUAUUAUUUGAGUUGCUUCAAUUCAUUAAAAGGUUGUCAGUAUAUCCAAAACUGAUGAACACAUACACAAGUUUUUCUAUAUAACUUUAUCUUUUUUGAAUUAUAUAUAUAAAAGGGAUUUGAAUUACCUUGAAUUAUUAACUCUAGGAGAUGAUGGUCGAGGAGCUGAAGAUCGGAAGGCCUGACCACCAAC
rnacentral:lncRNA from 1 species